ACGGGAGGCAGCAGUGGGGAAUAUUGGGCAAUGGGCGAAAGCCUGACCCAGCAACGCCGCGUGAAGGAAGAAGGUCUUCGGAUUGUAAACUUCUUUUAUGAGGGACGAAGGACGUGACGGUACCUCAUGAAUAAGCCACGGCUAACUACGUGCCAGCAGCCGCGGUAAUACGUAGGUGGCAAGCGUUAUCCGGAUUUACUGGGUGUAAAGGGCGCGUAGGCGGGGAUGCAAGUCAGAAGUGAAAUCUAUGGGCUUAACUCAUAAACUGCUUUUGAAACUGAAUCCCUUGAGUAUCGGAGAGGCAGGCGGAAUUCCUAGUGUAGCGGUGAAAUGCGUAGAUAUUAGGAGGAACACCAGUGGCGAAGGCGGCCUGCUGGACGACAACUGACGCUGAGGCGCGAAAGCGUGGGGAGCAAACAGGAUUAGAUACCCUGGUA
rnacentral:rRNA from 1 species